rnacentral:rRNA from 1 species
CCAGACUCCUACGGGAGGCAGCAGUGAGGAAUAUUGGUCAAUGGGCGUAAGCCUGAACCAGCCAAGUCGCGUGAGGGACGACGGCCCUACGGGUUGUAAACCUCUUUUGCCGGGGGACAAACGGCGGCACGCGUGCCGUCCUGAGGGUACCCGGAGAAAAAGCAUCGGCUAACUCCGUGCCAGCAGCCGCGGUAAUACGGAGGAUGCGAGCGUUAUCCGGAUUUAUUGGGUUUAAAGGGUGCGUAGGCGGGAUGCCAAGUCAGCGGUCAAAUCGUGGGGCUCAACCCCAUCCAGCCGUUGAAACUGGGGAUCUAGAGUGUGCGAGAGGUAUGCGGAAUGCGUGGUGUAGCGGUGAAAUGCAUAGAUAUCACGCAGAACCCCGAUUGCGAAGGCAGCAUGCCGGCUUCCGACUGACGCUGAAGCACGAAAGCGUGGGGAUCGAACAGGAUUAGAUACCCCUGUA